rnacentral:tRNA from 1 species
GCUGGUGUAGCUCAGUUGGUAGAGCAGCGCAUUCGUAAUGCGCAGGUCGCGGGUUCAAAUCCCAUCACCAGCU